UGCGUAGGUGGAUAAAUAAGUCAGGGGUGAAAGCCUCCCGCUUAACGGGAGAAUUGCCUUUGAAACUGUAUAUCUUGAAUGAGGUUGAGGUUAGCGGAAUGAGUCAUGUAGCGGUGAAAUGCAUAGAUAUGACUUAGAACACCAAUUGCGUAGGCAGCUAGCUAGGCCUUUAUUGACGCUGAGGCACGAAAGCGUGGGGAGCGAACA
rnacentral:rRNA from 1 species